GCCUUGGUGGCGAAAUUGGUAGACGCGCUGGAUUCAAAAUCCUGUGGUGGCGACACCGUGCGGGUUCGAUUCCCGCCCGAGGCA
rnacentral:tRNA from 1 species